rnacentral:rRNA from 1 species
UGGGGAAUAUUGGACAAUGGGCGCAAGCCUGAUCCAGCUAUGCCGCGUGGAUGAAGAAGGCCUUCGGGUUGUAAAGUCCUUUCGUUGGUGAAGAUAAUGACGGUAACCAAAGAAGAAGCCCCGGCUAAUUUCGUGCCAGCAGCCGCGGUAAUACGAAAGGGGCUAGCGUUGUUCGGAAUUACUGGGCGUAAAGCGCACGUAGGCGGCCUUGUAAGAUGGGGGUGAAAUCCCUGGGCUCAACCCAGGAAC